GGCACCAACAUGGCCAAGAGGUAUCAGCAGUGCACUAAGUUAAUGGGGUCUUGGAGAGCCUACAAGAGGGAUGUCAUCUGAUACACAAACUCGCCACAGCUGACAAUCCAAGCAAGUCCAGAGGCCUGCCUGCAUUCUACCUAGACUUCCAGUCACAGGCUCAAUGGUUCAGAGAGAAGAAUGGAGAGCCGAAGUCAGCUGUUUCUAUGGAAGAGAUGAUCCAGCCUCUACCCUCAAGGGCUGCCUAAUUCUGAAGCCCAGAAGGGUCCUCUACAAGG